UACGGAGGGUGCGAGCGUUAUUCGGAAUUACUGGGCGUAAAGCGCGUGCAGGCGGUUUGGCAAGUCUGAUGUGAAAGCCCCGGGCUUAACCCGGGAAGUGCAUUGGAAACUGCCGGACUUGAGUACUGGAGAGGAAGGGGGAAUUCCCGGUGUAGAGGUGAAAUUCGUAGAGAUCGGGAGGAAUACCAGUGGCGAAGGCGCCCUUCUGGACGGUUACUGACGCUGAGACGCGAAAGCGUGGGGAGCAAACAGG
rnacentral:rRNA from 1 species